CGUAACGCGUAUGCAAUCUACCUUUUACAGAGGGAUAGCCCAGAGAAAUUUGGAUUAAUACCUCAUAGUAUAAUGACUCGGCAUCGAGAAAUUAUUAAAGUCACAACGGUAAAAGAUGAGCAUGCGUCCCAUUAGCUUGUUGGUAAGGUAACGGCUUACCAAGGCAACGAUGGGUAGGGGUCCUGAGAGGGAGAUCCCCCACACUGGUACUGAGACACGGACCAGACUCCUACGGGAGGCAGCAGUGAGGAAUAUUGGUCAAUGGGCGCAAGCCUGAACCAGCCAUGCCGCGUGCAGGAUGAAGCAUCUAUGGUGUGUAAACUGCUUUUGUACAGGAAGAAACCCUGCCACGUGUGGCAGAUUGACGGUACUGUAAGAAUAAGGAUCGGCUAACUCCGUGCCAGCAGCCGCGGUAAUACGGAGGAUCCAAGCGUUAUCCGGAAUCAUUGGGUUUAAAGGGUCCGUAGGCGGUUUUGUAAGUCAGUGGUGAAAGCCCAUCGCUCAACGGUGGAACGGCCAUUGAUACUGCAAGACUUGAAUUAUAAGGAAGUAACUAGAAUAUGUAGUGUAGCGGUGAAAUGCUUAGAGAUUACAUGGAAUACCAAUUGCGAAGGCAGGUUACUACUUAUGGAUUGACGCUGAUGGACGAAAGCGUGGGGAGCGAACAGGAUUAGAUACCCUGGUAGUCCACGCCGUAAACGAUGGAUACUAGCUGUUCGGAGCAAUCUGAGUGGCUAAGCGAAAGUGAUAAGUAUCCCACCUGGGGAGUACGGGCGCAAGCCUGAAACUC
rnacentral:rRNA from 1 species